CCCACUAUGCUCAACCGUAAACACAGAUGGGACCACACACACCCCCAUCCGCCAGAGAAGUACAAGAAAAACUUAAAACUCAAAGGACUUGACGGUGUCCCAAACCAACCUAGAGGAGCCUGUCCUAUAAUCGAUACUCCACGCUACACCUCACCCCCUCUUGCAACCAGUCUGUAUACCGCCGUCUCCAAGUUCGCCUUAUGAUAGGACAACAGCGAGCAAGCCAGCCCACCACUAAGACGACAGGUCAAGGUGCAGCCUAUGAGGGGGCAGCGAUGGGCUACAUUUUCUGACAAACAGAACAUCACCUCCAGCCAAAUGAAACAAUAGGCCUAAAGGCGGAUUUAGCAGUAAGCCAAACAAGAACGUCUGACUGAAACCUGCUCUGGGACGCGUACACCAGAGAAGUACAAGAAAAACUUAAAACUCAAAGGACUUGACGGUGUCCCAAACCAACCUAGAGGAGCCUGUCCUAUAAUCGAUACUCCACGCUACACCUCACCCCCUCUUGCAACCAGUCUGUAUACCGCCGUCUCCAAGUUCGCCUUAUGAUAGGACAACAGCGAGCAAGCCAGCCCACCACUAAGACGACAGGUCAAGGUGCAGCCUAUGAGGGGGCAGCGAUGGGCUACAUUUUCUGACAAACAGAACAUCACCUCCAGCCAAAUUGAAACAAAGGCCUAAAGGCGGAUUUAGCAGUAAGCCAAACAAGAACGUCUGACUGAAACCUGCUCUGGGACGCGUACACACCGCCC
rnacentral:rRNA from 1 species